ensembl:lncRNA
AGAAGUGAGGUUAGGCUCAGGAUGGCGUGGGGCAUGAGUAGACAUUGCAUGGAGUCAGGAGCAGGUGGUGUCGCUGUGCCAGCCAAGGCUAACGGAGAGCUGAGCCCUUCUGAACAGGUCCAAGGAGAGGAGGGCUCAGUGCCUCUCGGGCCACCUCCCUGAGCUGGGCUGUGGUGCAAUCCCAGCUCACGCAGAGCAGGCUUUGCUUUGAAGAAGUACGCCUGACUCCAAGUCGAUUGUGAAUGCAGAGCACGACCUAUUUUAAGCAGGUGUAACAGUGAGCCAGCUGCUUGUGGGAACAAAAGGAACCGCUCAGCAGUGCCUGUGCAUCAGCAUCUGUCACAAGCGUUUUUAGGCUUAUGAAGUAUCGGGUUUGUUAUUAAACAAGAACAGUAACAGGAUUUUCCUCCUUUUCUUGGGGAAGUAAAGAUCCUGCUCUAACAAUUUCGGCCUGCUACAAAAAAGUCCAGGGAAGAAAUCUCGCCUCAUACUGAUAUUUCUGAAAGCAACACAGCUUGAACAGCAGAUGAAAUCAGAUGUAUGAACUGAGCUUGAAGAAACAGGAAGCGUGCAUUACUAAAAAUGAGACAGAGAGAAGAGAGCUCCUCAGCACAGACCGGGAAGGCUGACUUCUGCCAGAGGUGCGUGGACAAAAGCUGCAGAUUUUAUUUCCUAGCAUGUUUCUCAGCUGCAAAAGAAAACUCCGUCAGAUGGGAAAAGAUACAAAUGGAAAGGACCUGAUUUUGGUGACCACACACAAAAGGUCUCAGGAGAAAGGUUUGGUCCUUGAGCUCGUUCAGAACAGAAGCCUUAGAAACCUCAAAUAAAUGCCCUGGAGUGCUGUCAUCUGCCCCCACUUCUAUGAUUCUUCUCGCUGCCCCCACUUCUAUGACUCUUCUUGGGAAAUGGGGUGCUGUCAGGGAAGUUUCCUUCCAGGUAUAAUGAAGCUGCAGUGUUCUGCAAGAAUUUUCACCAAUAAAGAACUGAAGCAACUCAAAAGUGAGAACAAAAAAAUAACUGAACAUUGUUCAGAACUCUGUCAUCAUAGGCAACACGGUUUGAGAUGGGAUACCAAACCCACCCUGACAGAUGAUGGUCCAGGAAGACAGACGAGCUAACUCAGCCAAGGGUGACCUAAGCAAGCUGCUAAAUCCAGCAGACACACAAACCAAGGCAGGAGAAUCUGAUUCAAAGUCUACUGCAGUGGAAAAAUCUCACGGAACACCAUCAAAGCAGACUGAACUCUUACCAACAAUACGAGUUCAUACACACACACACACACAUAUAUGUACUUAUAUGGAAUUCGUGGCCAAAGGUCCUGUGCAGCUGUGCACAAGUGCAGAAUAUGAGCUGCAGCAAGUUGAAAGAGCUCAGCACAGUGGAUGUUGGGCCGUCUUGGGUGUAUGGCUCUGAGUGAAAAUUGAACUGUGGCUAUUUGGGUCCAGCAAGGAAUGCUGAAUUCUUAAAAAUUAGGCCUCAAGCUUCAUUGUGAAUCCGACCAUGGGAAUGUACGAAUUCUCAUUUUCACCACCGACUGGAAAAUAAAAAACCUGCAGUGCUAUGUCUCAAAACAAAAUAAAACAAAAAAAAAUCACAAAAACCUCACCAAAACAAACAAAAUAACCCAAAUCAAAACACCUUUUCAAUAACAAAUACAGGGAAAAACCUAUUUCUUUAUUUUAUUUUUGUUUCAGUGGGUGACGUCUACAUUAGUGUUGCAGUCCAAAGUAGUAGUAAAUUCAUGAAGCGAAUAUAAAUCCAUUGAGCACCCACACUUCAUAAGAACUGGUUUGCUUUCCAGAUUGGUUUUGGUGUGGGCCAGCUUGACUCCUCCUGCAUGCUAAGCCAGAACUGCUUUGGAUGCAACGUAAUGGGCUCCAGUAACAGGUUUGAGUCAAUGCCCUGUCCUCUGGGCAGAUUCAAAACAUGUCUUUGUGGGAACAUUUGGUUCAAGCAAUCAGACCACCGAGCCCAAAGUAAAUCCCCAAACCUUCAACCUGGCGUGUGUAUGGGUCUCAGCACCACGUAACUUCAACCUAUUAAUCCACUCACAUUACAGUAAAUUACUUUAGACAGUGUCUAGCCGACUCAAAAUAUGCUGAGUGCUUACUGUUCCCUAAUGAAGAGCUGCAGAGCUGUGAUUCCAGCUCCGAGCAAAUGAUUACAGCCAAACUGUACUAAAUAAAUCAGUGUUUAUGCCAAGUCGCAGGGAACAGCGCAGCAGAUUAGGCACUCAUUAGAGAUUAAUUUCCAAUCUAUGGACCAAACAAAGAACAGAUGUGAUACAAAAGUUUUCACUUAAACAAACCCACAAGGUUCUGGUCAUAUUAUGACAACAGCUAAUGCAUUCUUUGUGGCUUUUUAUGUCUAGAUAAUCUUGAAUAAUGCUGUACUUUCUGUUUGUUUGUGUAUUUUCUAUUUGUUUGAUAGUUUACAUCAUCAUCUUGCCACAGAAUAAGAAGGAAAAGGUAAAAUUC